GUGUGCUGUGAGGCAUGCUGGAGGUAUCAGAAGUGCGAAUGCUGACAUAAGUAACGAUAAAGCGGGUGAAAAGCCCGCUCGCCGGAAGACCAAGGGUUCCUGUCCAACGUUAAUCGGGGCAGGGUGAGUCGACCCCUAAGGCGAGGCCGAAAGGCGUAGUCGAUGGGAAACAGGUUAAUAUUCCUGUACUUGGUGUUACUGCGAAGGGGGGACGGAGAAGGCUAUGUUGGCCGGGCGACGGUUGUCCCGGUUUAAGCGUGUAGGCUGGUUUUCCAGGCAAAUCCGGAAAAUCAAGGCUGAGGCGUGAUGACGAGGCACUACGGUGCUGAAGCAACAAAUGCCCUGCUUCCAGGAAAAGCCUCUAAGCAUCAGGUAACAUCAAAUCGUACCCCAAACCGACACAGGUGGUCAGGUAGAGAAUACCAAGGCGCUUGAGAGAACUCGGGUGAAGGAACUAGGCAAAAUGGUGCCGUAACUUCGGGAGAA
rnacentral:rRNA from 1 species